CCUACGGGAGGCAGCAGUGAGGAAUAUUGGUCAAUGGACGGAAGUCUGAACCAGCCAUGCCGCGUGCAGGAAGACGGCUCUAUGAGUUGUAAACUGCUUUUGUACAAGGGUAAACCUGAAUACGUGUAUUCAGCUGAAAGUACUGUACGAAUAAGGAUCGGCUAACUCCGUGCCAGCAGCCGCGGUAAUCCGGAGGAUCCAAGCGUUAUCCGGAUUUAUUGGGUUUAAAGGGUGCGUAGGCGGAUUGAUAAGUGAGAGGUGAAAUGUCCGAGCUUAACUCGCGAACUGCAUCUAAUACUGUGGGUCUAGAGAGUAGAUGCGGUAGGCGGAAUGUAUGGUGUAGCAGUGAAAUGCGUAGAGAUCGUACAGAACACCGAUUGCGAAGGCAGGUUACCAGUCUAUAUCUGACGUUGAGGCACGAAGGCGUGGGGAGCAAACAGGAUUAGAUACCCUGGUAGUC
rnacentral:rRNA from 1 species